rnacentral:tRNA from 1 species
GGAGUUGUAGCUCAGUGGUAGAGCACUUGCCUUGCAUGUGUGAGGCCCUGGGUUCAAUCCUCAGCACCA